rnacentral:ncRNA from 1 species
ACUCUAGUCCAACUUUUUGAAAUGACUUGAGAGGUGUAGUAUAAGUGGGAGUAGAAUGGAAAAAGUGAAAUACCACUACUUUUAAUGUUAUUUUACUUAUUCCGUGAAUCGGACGCGGGGCACUACCUCUCUUUUUGGACCCAAGGCUCGCUCUGUGGGCUAAUCUAGGUGGAAGACAUUGUCAGGUGGGGAGU